UACGGAGGGUGCGAGCGUUAUUCGGAAUUACUGGGCGUAAAGCGCACGCAGGCGGUUUGUUAAGCUAGAUGUGAAAGCCCCGGGCUCAACCUGGGAUGGUCAUUUAGAACUGGCAGACUUGAGUCUUGGAGAGGGGAGUGGAAUUCCAGGUGUAGCGGUGAAAUGCGUAGAUAUCUGGAGGAACAUCAGUGGCGAAGGCGACUCUCUGGCCAAAGACUGACGCUCAGGUGCGAAAGUGUGGGGAGCAAACAGG
rnacentral:rRNA from 1 species